CUGCUGCCUUCCGUAGGAGUCUGGGCCGUAUCUCAGUCCCAAUGUGGCCGGCCAACCUCUCAGUCCGGCUACUGAUCGUCGCCUUGGUAGGCUGUUACCCUACCAACUAGCUAAUCAGACGCGAGUCCAUCUCUCAGCGAUAAAUCUUUGGUAUCCAUACCAUGCGAUACAGAUACGUUAUGCGGUAUUAGCAGUCGUUUCCAACUGUUGUCCCCCUCUGAAAGGCAGGUUACUCACGCGUUA
rnacentral:rRNA from 1 species